AGUGAACGCUGGCGGUAGGCCUAACACAUGCAAGUCGAACGGUAGCACAGUAAGAGCUUGCUCUUACGGGUGGCGAGUGGCGGACGGGUGAGGAAUACAUCGGAAUCUACUUUUUCGUGGGGGAUAACGUAGGGAAACUUACGCUAAUACCGCAUACGACCUACGGGUGAAAGCAGGGGAUCUUCGGACCUUGCGCGAUUGAAUGAGCCGAUGUCGGAUUAGCUAGUUGGCGGGGUAAAGGCCCACCAAGGCGACGAUCCGUAGCUGGUCUGAGAGGAUGAGCGGCCACACUGGAAUUGAGACACGGUCCAGACCCCCCCGGGAGGCAGCAGGGGGGAAUUUUGAAAAAGGGGCGAAAGCUGGACCCCCCAAUGCCGCGGGGGUGAAGAAGGUUUUCGGGUGUUAAGCCUCUUUUGUUGGGAAAGAAAAAAAGCGGUUAAAACCCCGCUUGUCCGGAGGGAACCAAAAAAGAAAGCCCCGGCUACCUUCGUG
rnacentral:rRNA from 1 species